rnacentral:lncRNA from 1 species
UUGCGCAGAUCCACCAUCUGUGUAAUCUUUUGGGACAGAAUGUCCUUUGACAUUGUGUGAUUGCUUCAAAAUCCCUGUGGAACAAAGGAUAUACCUCUACUGAGUUUAUAAUGAUUUGCCUUUAGAGGAAGCUUAAUGACACAUUGGAAUGCCCUGCUUCAGCUUCCUUGUUGUGGCCUACCUGACACCUAUAAGCUGAAGAAGUCUUGAACACUCAAGUGCAACACUACUGUUAUCCUGGAGAUACAGAAUAUCCUGUGACCAAAGCCGUCAGACACUCUGCUUGUGUAACUCUUCACUAGUAUGUGCAGCAACUGUUUUCUGGUGCCUUUAUUGCUGGACAUUGUGAGUUUCCACCAACAAGCGCCUGGGUCAGGCUGCAGGUGGAGAGAGAGAGCUGCCUGCUCCAGUUCUGGAGCUCCCGCUUUAAGAACAUCCUGAACUGAAGGUAACAUUUUCUAUUUAAUAGCUCUUAACUUUUCUUCCCUAAUUACUUUUUGAUCUCACUUGGAGUUUUGGCCUCUGUGGUCUCCUGCAGCAGACUAAUGUAGUUUAAAUAUGCUCAGCUUUAAGGCUACAGUUCGAUAAUUUCAUGUGAUUCCCCUUUGUUCUGACAUUAUGUCAGUUGGAAUAAUAUUUCUUCUUCGUGCCACUCAUUAUUUUAUGUAACACUGUCAUAUUCCAGCCUGUGCCCUGUUCUUUUACCACCUUAGCAAUUCCAGUUAAUUUAAUCUCUCAUCAUAUGGAAGUUAUUCCACACUUUAAUCAACUUUUUCACUUUUCUCUAUAUCUGUCCUA